GACGUAGGGCGCGAGCGUUGUCCGGAUUUAUUGGGCGUAAAGAGCUCGUAGGCGGCUUGUCGCGUCGGACUGUGAAAUCCCGCGGCUCAACUGCGGGUCUGCAGUCGAUACGGGCAGGCUAGAGUUCGGUAGGGGAGACGUGGAAUUCCUGGUGUAGCGGUGAAAUGCGCAGAUAUCAGGAGGAACACCGGUGGCGAAGGCGGGUCUCUGGGACGUUACUGACGCUGAGGCACGAAGGUCAGGGGAGCAAACGGG
rnacentral:rRNA from 1 species